AUGAGACACCAAAGACCCUUGUGCACGUAAAAAGAAAAGCCUUCCUCGCUUAACGUGGAUGUCCCCCCUCGUCCCUCCUCUUCACUCUCUUAAAAACUCUUCAGGUUUUUUUUUUUUUUUUUUUUUCCGACUGAGCAGAUUCAGGCUGAGGCGGGCGCAACCGCACUAGAGGGGGAAGUCAAGUCGUGCUGGACUGGCGCGAUAUCCUCGCACGGUUCACAACUCCAAAGAAGAGCGACCCUCGCCUCCAAUCAUGCUUUUUAAAUGAUGGACCAUGCUGAUUUUAAAAGUUGACCAGGGAUUUCUCGUCGUGGGGUGUUUGCGAGGCAUGGCUCUCAUUUUAACUUGCUUCCUCCUGUCAUGUUUUAGUGCGAGCGGUGUUCGGGGGAGUCAGAACGGUGACACCAGCAUCUAUUUGGAUAACAUCACGCGUAUAUUGGACAGAUUAUUGGAUGGCUAUGACAACAGACUGCGACCUGGAUUUGGAGGUCCAGUCACAGAGGUUAAAACCGACAUCUUUGUCACCAGCUUUGGACCAGUGUCAGAUGUCGAGAUGGAAUACACCAUGGACGUGUUCUUUCGUCAGACGUGGAUCGACGAGCGGUUGAAAUUCGAGGGCCCCAUUGAGAUCCUGCGGCUCAACAACCUGAUGGUCAGCAAGAUCUGGACGCCGGACACCUUCUUCCGGAACGGCAAGAGGUCGAUCUCUCACAACAUGACCACCCCCAACAAGCUGUUCCGCAUCAUGCAGAACGGAACCAUCCUGUACACCAUGAGAUUAACUAUAAAUGCAGAGUGCCCGAUGCGUCUGAUGAACUUCCCGAUGGACGGCCACGCCUGCCCGCUCAAGUUUGGGAGUUAUGCUUACCCCAUCAGUGAGAUCGUGUACACGUGGAAGAAAGGUCCUCUCUCCUCCGUCGAGGUGCCACAGGAAUCCUCCAGUCUGCUGCAGUACGACCUGAUUGGUCAGACGGUGUCGAGCGAGAUGCUCAAGUCCAACACAGGUGAAUACGUCAUCAUGACGGUCCACUUCCACCUGCAGAGGAAGAUGGGCUUCUUCCUGAUCCAGACCUACAUUCCCUGUAUCAUGACCGUGAUCUUGGCCCAAGUCUCCUUCUGGAUUAACAAGGAAUCAGUCCCAGCUCGGACUGUGUUCGGGAUCACCACCGUCUUGACCAUGACGACGCUCAGUAUCAGCGCCCGCCACUCCCUCCCCAAAGUUUCCUACGCCACCGCCAUGGACUGGUUCAUCGCCGUUUGCUUUGCCUUCGUCUUCUCCGCCCUGAUUGAGUUUGCGGCCGUCAACUACUUCUCCACCCUGCAAGCCAACAGGGAGCUGCGGAAGGCAGCAGCUAUGAAGGUGGCGGCUCAGGAGGCGGCGGCGGCUGCAGCUGCGGCGCCGCCUGUGGCCACGGGGACCAAUGGAGAAGAUUCCUCGGUGGAUGCCUCUAGUGUGCUGAAGAAGAGGAUGAACUCCGCUCCGCUGUUCGACCGCCCGGCCAAAACGUUUCCCAACCCACCGGUCAAUGCCCAGGCCUUCCUGCAGCAGGGCUCAGCUGUACCGGACAACAACAUGCUGACCGGCACCAGCAUCAUCGACAAAUACUCCCGCAUCCUCUUCCCCCUUUCGUUCGGCGCGUUCAACCUGGUCUACUGGAUCGUGUAUCUCACCAAGGACACCAUGGAGUUGUCCAGGUGAACAGAUGGCACGGUUCUUACAACCGAUUCCAGUAUUUGCUUUGUUGCUCACGAAGCACAUGAAGGGCGGUGUUCAUUGCGGAUACCGUCUAAACCUCUCCUCCUGGAAAUCACACACACACACACACACACACACACUUUACAUGCACACAUACAUGCACAAUAAAUAGAUGACAGACGCUUGCCAAGCACUCUUUCAUGCCGCCUCAGUGCAUUGUUUUUAUUUUCACAUCUUGGAAAGUGAGUGUUUUGAGGGCAGAUGCACCAGUUCCUUUUGCCAACGUGACCCGGGAGCCCGCAGCCUGUGGGAACCAGGCGCUGGAACUAUUUCAAACAGGUACUGCAUCUCUCUCCGUCCCUCUCAUUUCAUCCCCACCUAUUUGAGAUUAAAAAGUUAGAUGUCCAUCCUUGGUCCCCUGCUCGAGUGGAUGAGGGGGGGAUGGGGGUAUGUGAAAGUUAAGUAAGCCAGGCUGCAGAACCAGAGGCAGAACCUUUUGUGUUUUUUUUUUAUUCUGUGUGUGUACAACAAGCACGCAUUUCCACACACAGAAGAGCAAAAUGUGCACGUGUUUGAAAUUACGCAUUCCCCUCCCUGACAUUUGAGGCAGUGAGUGUACCAGUUGCCCCGACUCCGGCCAGUGUGACCAACUGGAAAGAACUCUCUCACUCUUUGUUCAUCCUUCCGCUCUUCAUUUCCCCCCCUUAAAAAAACACACUCUUUUUCUGGUCCAUGGGUUUAAUUUCCCUCUGCUGAUGGAGUGCAAAGGAUGUGGAGCGAAAUCUUCAAAGAUAUUUUUACAGUGUGAACUGCAGAUAAAUUGGCCCGGGUUAAAUAUUCAAUGUCAAGUGCAGGUGACACUAUGGAGAAAUGUGCUCAUGCAAAUAUAAAAUAAUCAACGUUUAAUGCACUCACACACACACACUCUUCAUUUUUUUCGAAUUGUUCAUAUUAACAGGAUUUUAUGUCCUGUAGCAUUAAGUAAGUCGUUACAGCUAAAAGCUGCUGUGAUCCAUUUCAGGAAGAAUCACUGAAAAAUGCAUUACCUGCAUACAAAGGAGAACGACAGAAAGUAAUCUACUGCACGUGUUCUACCAUAAGCAUCGGGUUAUCUCGGCUGUAACCUGUCUUUGGAGAGAUUUAGGCCUUUUCAUUCCAACACUGAUAUGGUUUUCUUUAUAUCUUAAUUGUUUCUAUUGUUAUCAUCUUAAUUGGAGUUAAAUCAUUUCUAUACAAAUUAUCUCCUGAGAUGGAAGCUCUGGCUUCUGGUCUUCUUUAUAAUUUUUUUUAUUUUUUCAAAACCUGCAUUAAACAGAAAGCUAAAGCUAUCAUCAUCAAUUAUACCAAAUGCCAAAACGUAUUCAUUAAUAAUCCACUUGGGCGGAUUUGCAUAUGAUUAUGCACUGUUUCCAAUUAAGUAGAGAGGGUAACAUGUUAAAGCCAUGUGGCGUCUAAAUAUAAGCUGUGUGUUUGCUUCCUCAUGACAUCCAUCAUCCACAAGGACGCUCUCAUUAAAGGUGUCUCUUAUUAACACAGGCACCUUUUCUUUUUAAAUGGUAAACCUGCAGAGUGUGCCAAAGGAUUACACACGUGCUGGAAUCUGUGCACUUCCUCUGGUUCUUCAGCUGAGGUCUGAUGGGAAUUGUCACACAAACUAUACAAAGACAACUGUACAGUGACUGGAAAGGGCCCCUGUGUUCUCAAUGAGGGAGUGAGUUUGUUUUCUACUUCUCUUAAUAGAGUAUUAUGAUUUUUAUUUUUAAUUCCACUUGGGGAAUUAAUCUCUUCUUUUGUUGUAAUGCAAUUAUGUUUACAUCUCAUGAGCACUUUGAUUUGUGAACAGAGCAGCAUGGUUCAACAUCAGUGAUAUAUCAAUAGCGCAUGAUUACAACUGGUCAUGUUAUACAUCAUUUUUCUUCUUUUUUUGGAAGAAUAAAAAUAUGCAAUGAAAUCAAUAAAUGUAAUAUAGACUCUAGCUGGAGCCUCGAAAUUGGGAUCUGUGGCUUCAAACCAUUAACUGAUGCUGCAAAGCUUUAAUGGUCUGGUUGCAAACAAGCAAUUCUAUCGCCACACAAGACUGUCCGUAUUUUACAAAUCUGUUAAAACUGAGCAGUGCCAAGGAUUUUAAAUUGUCGCUUUCUGUAUCUCUGUGCAUGGCAGCUAAUGAUGUGACUAAGGCAAAGUUUAGUUUACUACUGAAACUCGGAGGGGUCACGGUGAAAAAUGAAAAUCUCGACUUAUUAUCGGACACACGACUGUGAAACUUUGUUAAGUCAACAAUGGAAUGAAGCGUAACGAUGGCCUUGUGUUGUCAAUUUUCGGGAGUGCCGAGAGGAUUGGUCCAUUUCUAAGACCUGUUGUUGCAUGUUACUUCUCCUCCUGUGUGUGCACCAGUGGACUGAAAUAAAAGUGGUGUCAGACCUUGUGAUCCUUCCUCCCCCUUUCUCCGCUCCGUUCAUCACCCUCCUCUCCCUCCGUCUGUGAGGCAGAGGCUGAAGAGACGGGGCACCUCAGCUCUCGUUGCCCUGUGUGUCAGCCUCUGCUGUGGGAAAAGCCGACUCCCAUGGGAACUCAGGCCGCCACACAACUUGCCGGCCCUAGCGCCCAGUGGAGCCUCGGAAAAACUGACGACCUCCCACCUCCAGGAGUGGUGUGUUUUCUGCAGGACAAACUUCAGUCGAGUAGUAAAAAAGAAAAAGAUAAGCUGUGUGUGGGUGUGCGUGCGUGCAGUUUCUUUUUUUUAAACACGACUGGGCUCAUUUGCUUUUAUCAGCGACCCGUUUGAUCUGCCCUCUGACCCCGGCCUAGCUGCUCGGCUCCAUCGCACCACUGGGAAAUCCGCACUUGCAUGACCUCCAGCCCUUUAUUUGCUUGUUAGGGGCGUUGAAUGUAGAAGGUUGUGAACUCCAUAGGAAAAUAGAAUUAUAUCGCCAUGGUGACUGGAGCCAUAAACCGUUCUUUUUAGUCACUUCGUCUCAUGAGCUUUUUUCGAUUCUUUCAUUUCGCCGGUUUUUAAUUCGUUUCCACACUUUCCUCUCGCCUAGAAACUGCGGACGAAAUUUAGAAGACGAUGAAUGCUUAACUCUGGGUUUUUUUUGUGUGUAUAUUUUGUGAAUAUCAUUAAGAAUUUCUGUAGGUUGCUAUUUGUAUUCCAACUGUAUAACCCUGCUUGAUGAUCUGCGUUAGCCAUACUGGUUUGAAUGACAAACCACAACUUAUGUAAUGUGGGAGUUUAGUUCCUCCACCUGUGCUCCGUGUACACGUCGCUCUCUAUUAGUUUCUAUUGUCACGAUGUUAGCCUGCUGUAUUGCAACAUUGAAAAAGAUAUUUGCAUAUUCAGGUGUUUUGUCCCCCCCGAAUUUAUGAAGAAGAGAAAAUAAAGUCCUUCAAAUAAAUCGCAGAAAUUAGCUCCUACUCACUUUUCCCACAGAAUUGUAUAUGACUGUAUUCAAUAAAGACAAUUAUGUUUUUU